ensembl:lncRNA SLC12A2-DT SLC12A2 divergent transcript
GUCAGUGCGGCUUCCCACUAGGCGCGUGGUACCCGAGGCCGGGCCGGAGCCGCAGGCCAGCCGCGAUUCCUUCGGGCGAUGCUGGGGGCUUUCCGGUCGGGGCCGCAGCCGCUUCCGGAGCCGCGGGCGAGGUGCGUUCCCCAGCCUGGUUUGCUCUGGGCUCUGACCCGCCGCCGCGAAUCUCCGCUCGUAACUCCGGGCCUGAACCUGGAGGAGGGAGGAUUUCCUCUGUGCAGCUUUCGAGCGGUAGACUCACCCUGCCAGGCAGACCUAGAUUGGCAUAACCAGAGAUCAGUUCCAGUUGUGAUGCAGUGGGUGUCUACACACUUCUGAUGACACCUUUAUUUUAAAAGCUGAUGUUCCAAGGUGCAAGCGGUCUUCUCUGUCUUCUUUAUGGCCAGUAAAAUUCUCCAGAAGAGAUUUAUGGCAGCCUCACUCCCAGUAGUUUCUGCAUUUAGUGAGAUAAGAUGGAAUCUUGCUCUCUUGCUCAGACUGGAGUGCAGUGGCAUGACCUUGGCUCACUGCAACCUCACCUCUCGGGUUCAAGCGAUUCUGCCUCAGCCUCUCGAGUAGCUGGGACUACAGGUGGGAGACCUCCACAGAACCCUUCCAGCAAGCUGUCUUCUAAAGCAAACAAGAAAAGGAAAGUCUGAGCAGUUUUGAUUAGAUUUCCCAGAAGUCAAAGCAAGGAAAAAUGAAAAAGCUUCAUUUCUCACGUUCUUAAAAGAGAGCACAGAUGUUGCAUCAUCUGGUUAGAUACCCUGAGAAUAAAAUCUGGAUCCAGUGAGAGGAAAGAUUCUGGGUGCUCAUGAAAAAAGAAACAAAACAAAACUUGGGAGCCUCUUGAGAGUGUACAGCAUCAGCCCUUGCCAACUCUUGUUUAUAUGCAUUUAACUUUCAGUUAACCAUGGGAAUAAUUCAUGAAAAUCCAAUCUACAAACAAAGGCCAUCCUAACGUUCAUGUUAUUCUUUUCCCUAAGAAUCUUUCACAAGAGCUAUAAUCAAGUAGAAUUAUGCUUUGAUUUGAAUUCUAAUUCAAUUGAAAAUAAAAAAUGAGGGCCGGACGCGGUGGCUCAUGCCUGUAAUCCCAGCGCUUUGGGAGGCUGAGGUGGACGGAUCACGAGGUCAGGAGAUCGAGACCAUCCUGGCUAACACGGUGAAACCCGAUCCCUACUAAAAAUACAAAAAAUUAGCCGGGCGUGGUGGCAGGCGCCUGUAGUCCCAGCUACUCGGGAGGCUGAGGCAGGAGAAUGGCGUGAACCCAGGAGGCAGAGGUUGCAGUGAGCCGAGAUCAUGCUACUGCACUCCAGCCUGGGCGACAGAGCGAGACUCUGUGUAUAAAUAAAUAAAUAAAUAAAUAAAUAACGAAAAGGUUGCCAUUGCCCUUUCUGGGGAAAGUGAUAAUGAGGAAAGACUAGUUUCUUAACCCAAGUCAGCUUUAGAGUCGGCAAGGAUGCAAUUUGAGGUGAUCCAGGAAAACUCUAUUAGCAUGGUAUUUCCCAUACAGAUUCAUUUCUUUUAGGCCUGAAGUCUUUUUGGCACUUCUUAAUAAAAUCACAGAUACCUCUUGGACAUGAAAGCUUAUCCUUUAUCAAUUUCUAUCAGUUAACCACUCAGAUGAGGAUAAAGGCCUGAGUCAGAAAGGACAGAGAGAGGUUCCACAAAGAGAUAAAAGAUGAGUGGCCAUAAGGAGUCCUUGAAAACACACCUCUCUAGCCCAUCAAAAAAUGCAGCACCUUAAACUCAAGUCCAUCUUACUAGCCUUUAGCAGUACCCCACCACUCUCAAAAUUUCCAGCAUUAAAUGUCUCGGAGCUAUAUAAAAGGCAGACUUAGGUAUAAGUAGGAAGAGAUAUCAAGGGCUUGGGUAUCAUUUCAGCACUAAUGGAGCUUAUGGCAUGUAUGAAUGAACCUGAUGCGUGGUCUCCACGGUAGAUUGUUACAAUUGAGGUCCCACAUUUAUGAGAUUCCCAGUGAAAACAAAUCUCACAGCUUCACCUGAGAGAAACAUUACUGUCAGUCUCAGAUACAAAAGCCUGCUGCUAUUAGGUACCUAUACACCUGCUGAAAAUGGACCAGCUUUGCUGUAGUAGUGCGCGCAGGCAAAAAAAAAAAAAAACAUAAAAAUAACCCGUUUCUCAACAAAUAAAAUUAAUUGGCAGUCAUCACAUUCCCAAGGGAUCAAGGGGUAAAAUCUUUGGCAGCAUAUUGCACAGUGGGCAGGGUGUUUUUGGCUUCAUAAAAGUGAUAAGAGGAGACAACAGGCUAUUCUCUGCUCUUAGAAAUUAUUAGCUCUUUACUAACAUUUAAGAAUCCAUGGGGAAAUUUUUGCUCUGAAUUUGUUAGAAUGUUUAAUAUUAUAACAAUAAUAUUUAAGAUGUUGGUUUGAAGGUGGGGCACGGUGGCUCACGCCUGUAAUCCCAGCACUUUGGGAGGCUGAAGCAGGUGGAUUACUUGAGGUCAGGAGUUUAAGACCAGCCUGGCCAAAUGGUGAAACCUCAUCUCUACUAAAAAUACAAAUAUUAGCCAGGUGUGGUGGUGCACACCUGUAAUCCCAGCUACUCGGGAGGCUGAGGCUCGAGAAUCACUUCAACCUGGGAGUUGCAGGUUGCAUUGAGCUGAGAUUGUGCCACAGCAUUCCAGCCUGGGCGACAG